AGGAAGCCCUCCCGACGCCCCGGGUGAGCCAGUCGUUUCCGAGUUCUCCGGCCCCUGAUGGGGACGUCCGCGCCCCCCUUCUCAGGCCGGAGGUGCAGAGAUAUACCUCCCCGUCCUAGGGCUCAGCCAGCACUGCUAGGUACACAGAAGGUGUCCAGCGAGUGUAGCUCAGGGCAUCCUGCGGGCGUGCUUGUCCGCCGCGCCCAGGCUGGGCACUUUCACGCACCUGGUUCCAUCUGCACAGGGUUGUGCUACCAGCCAAGGACUGGCUGCCAGGACCUCCUGGGGGCACCGCAGUGUGGGCCACCAGCUCGGAAGCAGAGGUCCCACCAGAUCUAGCGCUCAAUAAGGAGCAGCAGUUGCAGAUCUCCAAGGAGCUGGUCGACAUUCAGAUCACAACCCACCACCUACAGGAGCAGCACGAGGCUGAAAUCUUCCAGCUGAAGAGUGAGAUCCUUUGGCUGGAGAGCCGAGUGCUGGAGCUGGAGCUGCAUGGAGAUCCCACCAGCCAGGGCUGUGCAGUCCCAGUGGAGUCUGACCCCAGGCACCCCCGGGCACCAGCCCAAGAGCUCAGACACAAAGCCCGGGUGCAGCCCAAGAACGCCGUGAACCCCGAGAACGAGCAGCACAGCCUGGGGAGCGGCCUGCUGGGGGGCCAGGAGCAGCUGCAGGGAGAAGUGAAGUGGGCGCUGGAGCGUCAAGAGGCCCGGCAGCAGGCACUGGAGAUGCGUGUGGCAGCCCUGGGCCGGCAGCUGCAGGGAGCCCGAGAGGAGGCCAGGGCAGCCGGGCAGCGACUAGCCACACAGGCUGUGGUGCUGUGCAGCUGCCGAGGCCAGCUCCAUCAGGCAGAGGCCGAGAACGCCCGGCUGCAGCUGCAGCUCAAGAAACUGAAGGACGAGUAUGUCCUGCGGCUGCAGCACUGCGCCCGGGAGGCAGUGGUGAGCCCUGCAGGAGCACCCUGAGGCCUAGGGAGCCCAAACUUGGCCUGGGUGUGCUGGAUAGCUUCAGGGAGACCCCAGGGCUCUGGCACUGCUCAGCCUGCUGGUGUGGGGGGAUGGUUAGAAAAGAUGGGGGGUGGGUCCCAUGCGGACCCAGCCCGCCACCUCCAGGAGCACGCAGAUGGUACAGGCCAAGCGCCAGCUACCACGGCCCUCCGGACAUUCCUGGAGGCGACUCUGGAGGACAUCCGGGCAGCGCACCGCAGCCGUGAGCAGCAACUGGCCCGGGCUGCCCGCACCUACCACAAGAGGCUGGUGGAUCUCAGCCGCAGGCAUGAGGAGUUGCUGGUUGCCUACAGGGCACCUGGGAACCCCCAAGCUAUUUUUGACGCAGCCAGCUUGGACCUGGAACCAUUGCCCGUGCCCCUGGUCACUGACUUCAGCCAUCGGGAGGACCAGCAUGGGGCACUGCUCUCAUCCCCAAAGAAGGGACCCGGUGGAGCCUCCCAGGGAGGAACGUCAGAGCCACAGGGCCUGGACGCUGCAUCCUGGGCCCAGAUCCACCAGAAGCUCCGGGACUUCUUCCGCAGCACCCAGGUAGGAGGCAAGGGCUGGCCCAGGCCCCUCCUCACACCAUGCCCCAGCUCAUGGCUUACACCCCCAUGCCAGGCAGAGCUGGAACGGGAGCGGGCACAGCUGCUGGUCCGGGCCACGAUGGCUGAAGAGCAACUUUCUGAGCUACAGGAGUACGUGGACCAGCACCUGGGCAGGUACAAACACGAAAUCCUGAGGCUGAGGAAGCUGGCAGGUGCAGGGGACCCCUGGAAAGUGGGGGCUGUGCCUCCAGCCAAGCCCCAGCAUCCAAGGACCGGCAGCCACUAGGCCGUCUCCCAAGGAGCAGAGCAGAGCCCGUCACAGCCAGCACGGAGCCCUCCCACCCAGCCCCCCAUGAAACAUGAGUCAGGAUAC
rnacentral:sRNA from 1 species